CCGACCUUAGCUCAGUUGGUAGAGCGGAGGACUGUAGUGGGUAAUAAUCACCUUAUAGCCAUCCUUAGGUCGCUGGUUCGAAUCCGGCAGGUCGGA
rfam:Cajanus cajan chromosome 2, whole genome shotgun sequence.